GCCGAGCCCAGUAGCGUGGGCCUAUGACCUAAGCGGGGGCUUUGAGGUGAUGGAACGUUGCGCUUGUUCGGAAGGUUGGGCCCGAUGUUGGCAAAUAUUAUGGCUUGCCCCAUUCCAAGCCCGGAGUUGAAUCAUGGAGCUCAAGCGAAGGCUUGGGGUUGCAUAUUUCCUAGAGCAAAGGGUACUGCGUGAGGCUGGUUUCACAGAGCAGCGACUACCUCUCGCUCCUGGCAGUGGAAGGAUAACAAGUCGGUGUCACCCGAGCCCAUAUGACCAGAUGGGCUUCGCUAACCCGGACCGUCACCUUU
rnacentral:SRP_RNA from 1 species